GCCCUGGUAGCGUAGUGGAUAACGCAACCGCCUCCUAAGCGGUAGACCGGAGGUUCGAGUCCUCUCCAGGGUGCCA
rnacentral:tRNA from 1 species